UACCAAUAGUUAAUUAACUAAUUGGUUAUGCAUAUUCUGUCCAUCUCUACGGAAAUCGUUAGAGCCGUUUUCAAGAUCCGCGUCCACCCAGUGUCCAAUUUCCAGUUUCCAUAUUGAACCCUUGAAGAGUUUGCAAGCUAAUAGGAAGAUUCGUAAUAAAAAGCAGAAAGCUUUGUAUCUAUGAAAUGAACGGCCAGAUCACAAGUUCUUCAGGGCUCGCUAAUACCUUCCUUCAGGGAACAGUACCAGGAAGAAGAAGAGGAAGACAGAGAAAGCGAUGGGAGGACAACAUCAAGGAAUGGACAGUGAAUGAAACUCUAUCAAAAGGCAAAGAACGGAGAGGAAUGGAGAAAGACGGUUGGCAGUUCUGUUGUGGUGCCCCAACGGUCCAACAGACUAAGGGGAUAGGUCAAGGUGAAAUAAACGACCUUGUUGGUAACGAA
rnacentral:sRNA from 1 species